UACGGAGGGAGCUAGCGUUGUUCGGAAUUACUGGGCGUAAAGAGCGCGUAGGCGGCUAACUAAGUUGGGAGUGAAAUCCCAGGGCUUAACCCUGGAAUUGCUUUCAAAACUGGCUAGCUAGAGAACGAUAGAGGAUGGUGGAAUUCCUAGUGUAGAGGUGAAAUUCUUAGAUAUUAGGAGGAACAUCGGAGGCGAAGGCGACCAUCUGGGUCGUAUCUGACGCUGAGGUGCGAAAGCGUGGGGAGCAAACAGG
rnacentral:rRNA from 1 species